AAGAGGGGAGAAAAUAAAAUAAAGAAGAAAAUCAAAGAAGGGAAAAAUAGAGUGUAAGAAAAAUAACAAAAAGGAAAAAGGGUGGGUUGUCUCCCACUAAGCACUUUGUUUAAUGUCGCAUGUUCGACAGUAGUGUUGCGUUGUACUAGGUUUGGGGUUGAGCGGGAAGCUCGAUGAGUCUGAGACUGUUUGAAUAGUCUCUAUUUUC
rnacentral:lncRNA from 1 species